rnacentral:tRNA from 1 species
GCGCCCGUAGCUCAGUGGAUAGAGCAGCGGUUUCCUAAACCGCGUGUCGCAGGUUCGAUUCCUGCCGGGGCUACCA